rnacentral:rRNA from 1 species
AAUGAACGCUGGCGGCGCGCCUAAUACAUGCAAGUCGAGCGAGAAGACGUAGCAAUACGUUUGUAAAGCGGCGAACGGGUGAGGAAUACAUGGGUAACCUACCCUCGAGUGGGGAAUAACUAGCCGAAAGGUUAGCUAAUACCGCGUACGCUCCUUGGACUUCGGUUCAGGGAGGAAAGCGAUACCGUGGGUAUCGCGCUCUUGGAUGGGCUCAUGUCCUAUCAGCUUGUUGGUGAGGUAACGGCUCACCAAGGCUUCGACGGGUAGCUGGUCUGAGAGGACGAUCAGCCACACUGGCACUGCGACACGGGCCAGACUCCUACGGGAGGCAGCAGUAAGGAAUAUUGCGCAAUGGGCGAAAGCCUGACGCAGCGACGCCGCGUGGGGGAGUGAAGGUCUUCGGA